AUGUAAAGAUGUUCAUGUUAUACUGAAGUCGGAGGUCGGGCAUUUCUUCCAGCGUCCACCAUCAAAGGUUCUCCACCGAGGCCAGGAGUUUUUGGCGGUAAUGGUUAUUAAACUAUUUUAAAAGAAGUUGAUCUUGAGUUGUUGGUAUUUCAUCAAUUUUUUUCGCCCAAUCCAUGCUCCAUCUGAGUGACAGUCAGUCUGGGAAAUAUCAACGAUAUAAGCUGAAGCAAAAAGUGGGACAAGUUAAAAUGGUGACUGUGGAGUGACCCCUCACAUGGGGAUUUAUCACCAAGCAAUUAAACACAGUGAAUACAGUGACAGAGGAGGGAACUUGCUAUGAAAGCGCUUUGUUCCAGGCCAAACUGUCCAAGGCGUGUGGCUAAUCCCUGUACAAAUAAAGUGAAAUUUUUUGCCUUGUUUUGUCUAUCCCCCUUUUUCGGGGGAGACAGUGUUAGUAUAUGUAUGUAUAUAAAUACAGCAUUCUUCACCAUUAUCAUGGGUGGUAGUGGUGAAACAGUCUUGGUUCAGCUCAGGUUUGAAUUCUAGACUGAAGGAUUUGUCUUCUCACAGUACAGCCUUCACCUGGCAAUGAAUAGGUACAAAUAAUGUAAGCCAAAAGUUGUGACCAUGCUUUUUGACAGAAGCAGAUGGUUCAUGUUCUUGCUUUUCUGUGUGUCUAACCCUGAGGAGUACUAAGCAACCACCACAAUAAACCUGUAUGCCAUGAGGUAUGUGAUAAUCAUAUGUGAUGUGUAUAACCCAUUGAAAUGCAAAUUUCAUCUUGAUUGAUACAAAUGUUCAUCUUGACACCCUCCCAUAAGUGUGCUUGGUUGGCAGCAAACCAUGGUUGGAGUAAGAAAAGAAGUCAUCGUAUUUCCUGUUUUGUAAAUGGAAACCAAAGAAUGCAGGAAAGGGACUGGGGAUCCCCUCCUGUAUACUUUAAUCCUUCCAAGGCCCUUUACAGAGAUAUGUUAGCCUUAAAUAAAGACACAUUUCUCUA